GCGUAUCUCUGCCAUAAAGUGCAUUAGCGUUUGGCUUAGCAGGCAUAGAAGUCGACGAGUUCGUUGAGAGACUCCGGUUGUGGGUCGGCGUUUUCGAGCAUCCACAGCAAGUGUUCGAAGAGGACAACCUCGCAUGCGACAUUGAUGGUGUCGUCUUGGUGGUCGGAGUCGUCGCGGGACCUCUCUACCAGUUCCCGGAAGACGGGGUUGUCGAGGACGCCGGAGGAGACCCGGUAGAGGCGGCGGGAUUUGCCGACGUAGACGGCGUGGAGGUCCGAUCUGGAGGAGGACUCAUCGUCGGCGACGGCGCUGGUGCUGUGGCGGCUCUGCUUGCCGUUGCCGAAUGAGUUCCAUUUCUUCAGCACCGAUUUCAGCCUCAUUAGUUUUCCACCUUUAGCCAUUACGUCAAAUGGUGAGAAUUGAAAUUGAAGAAGAAGAAGAAGAAGAAG
rnacentral:sRNA from 1 species